rnacentral:rRNA from 1 species
AGGACGAACGCUGGCGGCGUGCUUAACACAUGCAAGUCGAGCGGUAAGGCCUUUCGGGGUACACGAGCGGCGAACGGGUGAGUAACACGUGGGUGAUCUGCCCUGCACUUCGGGAUAAGCCUGGGAAACUGGGUCUAAUACCGGAUAUGACCUCCUAUCGCAUGGUGGGUGGUGGAAAGAUUUAUCGGUGCAGGAUGGGCCCGCGGCCUAUCAGCUUGUUGGUGGGUAAUGGCCUACCAAGGCGACGACGGGUAGCCGACCUGAGAGGGUGACCGGCCACACUGGGACUGAGACACGGCCCAGACUCCGUACGGGAGGCAGCAGUGGGGAAUAGUGCACAAGUGGGACGAAAGCCUGAUGCAGCGACGCCGCGUGGGGAUGACGGCUUCGGGUGUAACCUCUUCAGUCGAGGACGAGCGAC